UCAGUUGAAUAGUUUGCAAAUAUUUUCUCCUCUUCUGUGAGUUGUCUCUUCACUUUGUUAAUUGUUUCCUUUGCUGUGCAAAAUGUCUCUUUUUUUUAUUUUUUUAUUUUUUUUAAUUUUAUUAUUAUUAUAGUUUAAGUUUUAGGGUACAUGUGCACAAUGUGCAGGUUGGUUACAUAUGUAUACAUGUGCCAUGCUGGUGUGCUGCACCCAUUAACUCGUCAUUUAGCAUUAGGUAUAUCUCCUAAUGCUAUCCCUCCCCCCUCCCCCUACCCCACAACAGUCCCCAGAGUGUGAUGUUCCCCUUCCUGUGUCCAUGUGUUCUCAUUGUUCAAUUCCCACCUAUGAGUGAGAACAUGCAGUGUUUGGUUUUUUGUCCUUGCGAUAGUUUACUGAGAAUGAUGAUUUCCAAUUUCAUCCAUGUCCCUACAAAGGAC
rnacentral:lncRNA from 1 species